UUCCGGUUGAUCCUGCCGGAGGUUACUGCUAUCCGGAUUUGACUAAGCCAUGCAAGUCUUGGUUACUUUUGUUUCCAGGGCAGAAAGCUCAGUAACAUGUAGUUAAUUUGCCCUUAGGUCUGGGAUAAUCUCGGGAAACUGAGGCUAAUACCAGAUAGAUAAGAGAUACUGGAAUGUUUUCUUAUCCAAAGCUUCGGCGCCUAAGGAUAAGACUGCACCCCAUUAGGUUGUUGUUAGGAUAAAAUCCUGGCAAGCCUAUAAUGGGUACGAGCCUUGAGAGAGGAAACUCGGAGAUGGAUUCUGAGACAAAAAUCCAGGUCCUACGGGACGCAGCAGGCGCGAAACUUCCACAAUGCACGCAAGUGUGAUGGAGAAAUCUGGAGUGCUUCCUUUUCAAGGAAGCUUUUGCUGAGUCUAAAAAGCUCGGUGAAUAAGUGGUGGGUAAGACAGGUGCCAGCCGCCGCGGUAAUACCUGCGCCAAGUGGUAACCACGUUUAUUGGGCUUAAAACGUUCGUAGCCGGUUUGAUAAGUUCUUAGUGAAAUACCACAGCUAACUGUGGUGCCUGCUGAGGAUACUGUCAGACCUGGGACCGGGAAAGGUCAAGAGUAUUGUUGGGGUAGGGGUAAAAUCCUGUAAUCCCAAUAGGACUACCUGUGGCGAAGGCGCUUGACUAGAACGGAUCUGACGGUGAGGGACGAAAGCUAGGGGAGCAAAGGGGAUUAGAUAGACCCUUUUCUGUAUUAAACCGAGAAAAUGGUCCUAAAAACCCCCGUAGUCCUAGCUGUAAACGAUACCCACUAGUUGUUGGGGGUCUUACGUGGGCCUCCAAUGUCGUAGGGAAACCAUUAAGUGGGUUGCCUGGGGAGUACGGUCGCAAGGCUGAAACUUAAAGGAAUUGGCGGGGGAGCAC
rnacentral:rRNA from 1 species